rnacentral:rRNA from 1 species
CGGGGGCCCGCACAAGCGGUGGAGCAUGUGGUUUAAUUCGAUGCAACGCGAAGAACCUUACCUACUCUUGACAUCCAGAGGAGUCGACAGAGAUGUUGACGUGCCCUUCGGGGAGCUUUGAGACAGGUGCUGCAUGGCUGUCGUCAGCUCGUGUUGUGAAAUGUUGGGUUAAGUCCCGCAACGAGCGCAACCCUUAUCUUUUGUUGCCAGCACGUAGAGGUGGGAACUCAAGAGAGACUGCCGGUGAUAAACCGGAGGAAGGUGGGGAUGACGUCAAGUCAUCAUGGCCCUUACGAGUAGGGCUACACACGUGCUACAAUGGCGUAUACAAAGAGAAGCGAGCCUGCGAGGGUGAGCGGACCUCAUAAAGUACGUCGUAGUCCGGAUUGGAGUCUGCAACUCGACUCCAUGAAGUCGGAAUCGCUAGUAAUCGUGGAUCAGAAUGCUACGGUGAAUACGUUCCCGGGCCUUGUACACACCGCCCGUCACACCAUGGGAAUGUUUUGCAAAAGAAGUAGGUAGCUUAACCUUUGGGAUGGCGCUUACCACUUUGUGAACCAUGACUGGGGUGAAGUCGUAACAAGGUAACC